UACGAACUGUGCGAACGUUAUUCGGAAUCACUGGGCUUACAGGGUGCGUAGGCGGCUUGUUAAGUAGGGUGUGAAAGCCCCCCGGCUCAACCGGGGAAUUGCGCCCUAAACUGGCGAGCUGGAGUGAGAUAGGGGUGUGUGGAACUUCCGGUGGAGCGGUGAAAUGUGUUGAUAUCGGAAGGAACGCCGGUGGCGAAAGCGACACACUGGAUCUUGUCUGACGCUGAGGCACGAAAGCCAGGGGAGCGAACGGG
rnacentral:rRNA from 1 species